UCUUCCCUAUGAAGACUGGUAUACCUCAAAGUUCUUCUAGUGUUGAUCCUACUCACACAUCUAGUUCUAUUCCCGAUCAUGUGGAAAAGAUGACAAAUGUGGGGGCAGAUCCUACUAGUAGCUCUACUCCUAAUGAAGUUGAGGAACCUAGAAGGAGCAAGCGUGCAAAGGUAGUUAAGGACUUUGGAAGUGAUUUUAUCACUUACAAUGUCGAGGACGAACCUUUGACUUUCCGACAAGCCAUGGAUUCUUCGGAAUCUAGGCACUGGAAAGGCGCUGUGAAGAGUGAAAUUGACUCUAUUGUUUCUAACGGAACAUGGGAGUUGGUUGACCUCCCUCCUGGGUGUUCUACUAUAGGAUGUAGGUGGAUCUUCAAAAGGAAGAUGAAACCAGAUGGCUCAAUAGAUAAGUAUAAAGCUAGAUUGGUUGCUAAAGGUUUUAGGCAAAGAGAAGGUAUUGACUACUUUGAUACAUACUCUCCUGUUGCAAGAUUGACAACGAUCCGAAUGCUUGUAGCAUUGGCUUCCGUACAUGGUCUUAUCAUCCAUCAAAUGGAUGUAAAGACAGCUUUUCUUCAUGGUGAUCUUGAAGAAGAGAUUUAUAUGGAUCAGCCUGAGGGAUUUGUUGCAUCUGGCAAUGAGAGCAAAGUAUGUAAGUUAGUCAAAUCCAUCUACGGCUUGAAACAAGCACCUAGAGACUGGCACAAAAAGUUUGAUGACACUGUUUUGACUUUUGAUUUUAUAGUUAAUGAUAAUGACAAGUGUGUCUACUAUAAGGUUAAAGGAAAUGAACAUAUUGUGUUGUGCUUGUAUGUGGAUGAUAUACUACUGUUUGGAACCAAUAUUGAGAUUAUUAACGAGACAAAGAAUUUCUUGAAAAAACACUUUGAAAUGAAGGACAUGGGUGAGGCGAAUGUGAUUCUUGGACUCAAGUUGACUCAGUCAACUGAGGGAAUAACCUUGUCACAAUCUCAUUAUAUAGAGAAAUCUAUACUUGAGAAGUAUGGUUAUUCAAAUUGUAGAAUUGCUAGUACACCAUAUGAUCCUAAAGUUGCUCUUAUCAAGAAUGCUUCAGGUGUACCUGUGUCUCAGUUAAGAUAUUCUCAGAUUAUUGGUAGUUUGCAAUAUCUUGCUAAUGGUACUAGACCAGAUAUAACAUAUUCUGUGUCUAAGUUAGCAAGAUAUACAAGCUGUCCAAACAGAACUCAUUGGGAUGCUCUAGAUAGAGUACUUAGAUAUCUGAAAGGCACCAUAUAUCUUGGGUUGCACUACAGGAGAUAUCCGAGUGUGCUUGAGGGAUAUAGUGAUGCAAGUUGGAUAGCUAAGAAGUCUGGUUCCAAUGGAGUGACUGGAUAUCUGUUUACCCUUGCGGGUGGAGCAGUAUCCUGGAAGUCGACUAGACAGACUAUAGUAACUCGGUCUACGUUUGAGGCCGAGUUGUGUGCAUUGGAUGCCACGGGUACGGAGGCUGAAUGGUUACAUGGACUCAUGUCUGUGUUACCUGUAGUAAGUCGUCCGCUACCGGCAAUUUCUGUUCAUUGUGAUAGCCGUACAACUAUCGACAAGAUCAGAAGUGUCAAGUAUAAUGCUAAAACAAAGAGACACAUCCAAGUUAGACUUAAGUCUAUAAGGGGUUUGGUGUCUGAUCGGACUAUUGCUAUUGAGUUCAUUGGAACUCAAGAUAACAUAGCUGAUCCACUGACUAAAGGGCUUGAGCAUGCUGUUGUCCUUAAGUCAAGGUUGGGGAUGGGACUGAUAACCCAUCAUGAUUCAUCUACAGCGGGAACCCAAUACAUCUGAGAGGAGAUCCCUCAAAGUGUAUUCAAUGUGGUAAACAAGCUGUAAGGGUGGAUCGGUAGUACCUUUAACUACAAUGUAGAUACUUAUGCAUCUGAGUCUAUCCCCUGCAAACCUAAAAGGUACUGACACUGCAAGUAUAGCAAGAGUUUUUAGAACUCUGAAUGGGGUCAAGUCAUUUGACGAGAUGGUUGCAGUACAUCUCUGGAGAUGCCCAGCUAAGCGAAUGUAAUUGUGAGGUCGCAAUUAGAGGAAAGGGUUAUUCCUUGAAACAUUCGACGAACAGGAUCGAGACACGACCAUUAAUGUCUCAAAGCCGUAGAUCGGCACCAUAGCCUUUGACUUGUCGUCGUCUAUGGAGUGUGGUUACACCCAACGGAUAGAGAUUCAAGGUGAAACAAUCCAUCUAUAUCCGGUAGCCAUCGAAGUAGGGGACUUAGGAGGGUUCAAACCCGGAAGGGUACCUACUCUGAAAAACAAGUCAUGAUGAGGACUAAUAUGCAUAUCUAUAUGGAUUUGUGGGGGAUUGUUAGAAAAUGGAAAGUUUAAAGCAUAUUUUUUUAAUAUGUUCUUGAUGUAAUUUCUAGGACAUUUUCUUAGUGAAAUCCAUUGAGAAAUAGAGUUGAAUACAGUGCUUGAAAGAGAUGAUCCUACUCACACAUCUAGUUCUAUUCCCGAUUAUGUGGAAAAGAUGACAAAUGUGGGGGCAAAUCAUGCUAGUAGCUCUACUCCUAAUGAAGUUGAGGAACCUGCCAUAUUCUGAAUAGAGUCCCUCUGAAACAUAUGGACAAGACACCUUACGAAUUAUGGAAAGGCAGGAAAACUAGUCUAAAGUAUCUUCGUGUGUGGGGGUGCCUUGCUAAGGUACUUGUCCCUGAACAGAAGAGAAAGAAACUAGGGCCGAAAACUGUUGAUUGUAUCUUUCUGGGCUAUCUCGAAACCACUACAGCUAUGAGAUUUUUAGUAUUAAAAUCUGACAUAGAUGGUAUAGUGGCAAACACGAUAGUUGAGUUUCGUGAUGCAACAUUCUUUGAGGAUGUCUUCCCUAUGAAGACUGGUAUACCUCAAAGUUCUUCUAGUGUUGAUCCUACUCACACAUCUAGUUCUAUUCCCGAUCAUGUGGAAAAGAUGACAAAUGUGGGGGCAGAUCCUACUAGUAGCUCUACUCCUAAUGAAGUUGAGGAACCUAGAAGGAGCAAGCGUGCAAAGGUAGUUAAGGACUUUGGAAGUGAUUUUAUCACUUACAAUGUCGAAGACGAACCUUUGACUUUCCGACAAGCCAUGGAUUCUUCGGAAUCUAGGCACUGGAAAGGCGCUGUGAAGAGUGAAAUUGACUCUAUUGUUUCUAACGGAACAUGGGAGUUGGUUGACCUCCCUCCUGGGUGUUCUACUAUAGGAUGUAAGUGGAUCUUCAAAAAGAAGAUGAAACCAGAUGGCUCAAUAGAUAAGUAUAAAGCUAGAUUGGUGGCAAAGGAUUUUAGGCAAAGAGAAGGUAUUGACUA
rnacentral:lncRNA from 1 species